rnacentral:rRNA from 1 species
GAGCGGACCUUCGGGUUAGCGGCGGACGGGUGAGUAACGCGUGGGAACGUGCCCUUCAGUUCGGAAUAGCCCCGGGAAACUGGGAUUAAAGCCGGAUACGCCCUUCGGGGGAAUGAAGGAUCGGCCCGCGUUAGAUUAGGUAGUUGGUGGGGUAACGGCCUACCAAGCCUACGAUCUAUAGCUGGUUUUAGAGGAUGAUCAGCCACACUGGGACUGAGACACGGCCCAGACUCCUACGGGAGGCAGCAGUGGGGAAUCUUAGACAAUGGGGGCAACCCUGAUCUAGCCAUGCCGCGUGUGUGAUGAAGGCCUUAGGGUCGUAAAGCACUUUCGCCAGGGAUGAUAAUGACAGUACCUGGUAAAGAAACCCCGGCUAACUCCGUGCCAGCAGCCGCGGUAAUACGGAGGGGGUUAGCGUUGUUCGGAAUUACUGGGCGUAAAGCGCGCGUAGGCGGACUGGAAAGUUGGGGGUGAAAUCCCGGGGCUCAACCUCGGAACUGCCUUCAAAACUCCCAGUCUAGAGUUCGAGAGAGGUGAGUGGAAUUCCGAGUGUAGAGGUGAAAUUCGUAGAUAUUCGGAGGAACACCAGUGGCGAAGGCGGCUCACU